rnacentral:rRNA from 1 species
AGAGUGAACGCUGGCGGUAGGCCUAACACAUGCAAGUCGAACGGCAGCACAGGAGAGCUUGCUCUCUGGGUGGCGAGUGGCGGACGGGUGAGGAAUACAUCGGAAUCUACCUUUUCGUGGGGGAUAACGUAGGGAAACUUACGCUAAUACCGCAUAAGACCUUCGGGUGAAAGCCGGGGACCUUCGGGCCUGGCGCGGAUAGAUGAGCCGAUGUCGGAUUAGCUUGUUGGCGGGGUAAAAGCCCACCAAGGCGACGAUCCGUAGUUGGUCUGAGAGGAUGAUCAGCCACACUGGAACUGAGACACGGUCCAGACUCCUACGGGAGGCAGCAGUGGGGGAAUAGUUGGACAAUGGG